UUCUUUAUAGUGUAUAAUAUAAGGUAUAACCUGCUCAAUGAUUUUUAAAUAGCCGCGAUAUUUAAUCGUGCUAAGGUAGCAUAAUAAUUUGUCUUUUAAUUAAGGUCUAGAAUGAAUGGUUGAACGAAAAAUUAACUUUUUUAAUUAAAUUUUUAUAAAUUUUAUUUUUUAGUUAAAAAGCUAAAAUUUUUUUAUGUGACGAUAAGACCCUAUAAAAUUUUAUUUUUAGUUUAAUUACAAAAAAUUAGAUGAUAUUUUUUGUAAUUAGAUUAAAAAUUUGGUUGGGGUGACUAUUUUAUUUAAUAAACUAUAAUUUUUACAUUUCAUUAAUUUAUGAAUUAUUGAUCCUAAAAUUUAGAUUAUAAGAAUAAAUUACUUUAGGGAUAACAGCGUAAUUUUCUUGGGGAGUUCUUAUUUAUAAGAAAGAUUGCGA
rnacentral:rRNA from 1 species